rnacentral:lncRNA from 1 species
CGGAGCAGGGGGCACGGCCCGGAGCCUCCCCCGGGGCUCCGGCUUCGUAUGGGUGAAACCAAUUCGAUUCGACUCGAUUUUGCCUGACAAGAAAUAAAGGCAGAGCUGCGGGGCGGUUUAAAACCACGACUCGAACGGUUUCCGAGUAAAUGCAAAACCGUUUGGGAAAAGCUUUGCCAGAUGGUGAAGGGCUGAAAUUCGGGGAGAAGGGUUACAAGUGCCGAGCCGAGAAAAAUAAAUAAAUUAAAUCUGUAACUUUCCCCGUGCUGGGAAGUUGGACACGGAGCAUCCGAGCCGCCGUCUCGGGCUGGCUGUCGGACUGCAGCGCGUAAGGCGCGUCCUUGUGCUCCGUCCACACCAAACGGCUUCGAAACUGAUUUAAAAGAGUGUGUGUAAACGAGGUGGUGCAGCAAUUUCUUCCGGCUGAGUAAGUCGGUGAGCCAGGUUUGCUGGAAGUGGGAGUCAUUUUCUCUGAGCUCUGACCUUUCCUGCACCAGGCUCCGUCCCGAGGCGCUAGCGCCGGCAGCCCAUGGGGUCCAGCGGCACUGGGGCCGCCGGGAGCAGGAGCGGCUGAGCUGAGCGGAGCGUGUAGAUGCGGCCAGGUGAAGGAGGAGGGCUGCUGGCGGCCGCCCGGGCGGCUCUCCGGAGUAGGGAUCGCGGCCACGUUUGAGAGAUUUACGCUUCGAUUCACAGCGUUUGUUCCCCGGAAAAUAUUUUCAAAGAAAAGGGAAUUUAUCUACAAUUAUUUUUCGUUGUCUUUGACAAAAGAUUCCAAUAUAGAUAUUGCUGGAGGCGCAGGCAGCGCUGAACACCAGGAAGGGGAUUUCGUAAACAAUUUCUCAAAGCACUACAAAGUUUAAAUAUUAAUUUGGUCAUAAUAGGCAGAGAAGCAAUUAAAAAUGCUACAAAGCUGACUUUCUCCCUCCCUUACUUUCUCCUCCAUUUUCAUUUAACCACAGUAUAGAAAGUAGAUGUAAAACAAUAGGACCCUGAGCUGUACAGCGUUCUAAGCCUAGCUUGCCUUAAAGCUACAAUAUGGAUUUAAUUUAUAUGCAAAUGUAAGCAAUAAAAAGCCAGACACUGUAGAAAUUAUAGUAUUU